rnacentral:rRNA from 1 species
GAUGAACGCUGGCGGCGUGCCUAAUACAUGCAAGUCGAGCGAACGGACGAGAAGCUUGCUUCUCUGAUGUUAGCGGCGGACGGGUGAGUAACACGUGGAUAACCUACCUAUAAGACUGGGAUAACUUCGGGAAACCGGAGCUAAUACCGGAUAAUAUUUUGAACCGCAUGGUUCAAAAGUGAAAGACGGUCUUGCUGUCACUUAUAGAUGGAUCCGCGCUGCAUUAGCUAGUUGGUAAGGUAACGGCUUACCAAGGCAACGAUGCAUAGCCGACCUGAGAGGGGAACCGGCCCCCCGGGAACUGAGACACGGUCCAGACCCCUACGGGAGGCAACAGUCGGGAAUCUUCCGCAAUGGGCGAAAGUCUGACGGAGCAACGGCGCGUGAGUGAUUAAGCUCUUCGGAUCGUAAAACUCUGUUAGUAGGGAAGAACAUAUGUGUAAGUAACUGUGCACAUCUUGACGGUACCUAAUCAGAAAGCCACGGCUAACUACGUG